GAAACAUUGUUAAUAUAUAUAGCAAGAUCUUGAACAUAUGGUUAUAGACGUUUUAACUUUAUUAUUACGCCAUUUUCAAUGUGUCGUUACAGAGCAUUAUUAUAAUUGUCAUAUCUAGAUAAUAAUUUAAUUGUUGUAAAAGGUAAUAUUAAAAAUAAACCUCAAAGUUUAUUGAAAUUUUUCCGGUCGGACUUCAAUAACCUUAUCUAAAAAAGAGCAUGUUAAAUCGAUAAUAUCUCUUGAUAUUUAUUGUUGAUGCUUUUCCGUUAUGCUGAUUGGUUCUCCCGCUGUGCUUACUUCGUGAUACUGUCAUCGCGGAGAUUACGUUUUGACAGUUACGUGUAUCGAGGGUUAAUAGUCUAAUAUUAAAUUUGUAAUUUGUAAUUAUGUAAUAUCAAAAUCUCUGUAGCUCGCGCCUGUUUUGUCUAGUACUUAUAAAUAGACAGUAUGAAAACAUACUGUCGUCUUAUUCUGAAAUACAAUAUAUUUUUAUAACGACUAUUUAAAGAUACUGUGACUAGACGGAUUUUAAUGCGUCCAAGGUACACUUCAGAGUAAGACGACAAUACGUUUCACAAGAAUGGAUAAGAAUUUGGGAAACACUUUGGAAUUUUAAGAAACUUUCAUAGAUAGAAAUUGGAUAAACACACAAUGCACAAAAUGAUAAAUUAAGAGCUAAAAUUAAUAUUAAAAUCUUUUACGAUAUUUUUAAACGAUAUUUUUUUAGUUGUAAAAAUAUUAUAGUUUGUAGCAUUUUUGGUAUUUUCAAUGAUUUUCCAUUUAAUGAAUAAGGUACAUAUUAUUAAUCAAACCGAGAAAAUAUGAUAUCAAUAAGA
rnacentral:lncRNA from 13 species